GAUGAAGAACGUAGCGAAAUGCGAUACGUAAUGUGAAUUGCAGAAUUCAGUGAAUCAUCGAAUCUUUGAACGCACAUUGCGCCUGCCAGCACUCUGGCAGGCAUGCCUGUUCGAGCGUCAUUUCAACCAUCAAGCCCUAGGCUUGCGUUGGAGCCCUGCGGCUGCCGCAGGCCCCUAAAAGCAGUGGCGGGCUCGCUAUCACACCGAGUGCAGUAGAUUACUCUUCGCUCAGGGCGUGUGGCGGGUUCCAGUCGUGAAACCCCCUACUUCUCAAGGUUGACCUCGGAUCAGGUAGGAAUACCCGCUGAACUUAAGCAUAUCAAUAAGCGGAGGA
rnacentral:misc_RNA from 1 species